GAUGAACGCUGGCGGCGUGCCUAAUACAUGCAAGUCGAGCGAACAGAUGAGGAGCUUGCUCCUCUGACGUUAGCGGCGGACGGGUGAGUAACACGUGGAUAACCUACCUAUAAGACUGGGAUAACUUCGGGAAACCGGAGCUAAUACCAGAUAAUAUAUUGAACCGCAUGGUGCAUAGGGUAAUAGGGCUUUGCGCGUCUGUAUAAGACGAUGCCGGAUUAGCUAGUUGGCAAGGUAACGGCUUACCAAGGCAACGAUGCGUAGCUGGUCUGAGAGGGUGAUCGGCCACACUGGAACUGAGACACGGUCCAGACUCCUACGGGAGGCAGCAGUAGGGAAUCUUCCGCAAUGGGCGAAAGCCUGACGGAGCAACGCCGCGUGAGUGAUGAAGGUCUUCGGAUCGUAAAACUCUGUUAUUAGGGAAGAACAAAUGUGUAAGUAACUAUGCACGUCUUGACGGUACCUAAUCAGAAAGCCACGGCUAACUACGUG
rnacentral:rRNA from 1 species